rnacentral:pre_miRNA from 1 species
GGCUUUCUGAAUCCGUGCUGAGAUUUCGUCAGACACCAACCCAUUAGGACUGAUCAGACUUCUAAGGCAAGUGAAGUU